UCCCCAAUCCUGGCCGCCCCCGCCGCCCCGCCCUUACCUGGGGGCCGGGGUCGCGUCGGGAGCGCGGCAGCAGCCGGAGCCGAGGCAGACGCCGCCCAGGAUGGCGAGAAGGGAGGCGCUCCAGCCCAGCGUCUUGAUCAGAGCUGACUCACGUGGAAUCUGCCCCAUCCAAAUCCUGCCCAUCCUGGAAAGUCCAGCUGCCCCAGCAAUUGUCUGCGAAGCUUGCCCUGAUGCCUGUUGCUUCGGCCUCCCCAACCCCCACACCCUCCAGCCUGGGACAGGCCUUUGCCACUCAGGGCAGUGAAGGCGUGAGGCCAGUGAGACCCCUGGACUACUGUGAGACCUCCAGCCUUGGCCCUCUCCGGGGGCUCCUCCAGUAAGUCACCUGAGCUUUCUGAGCCUGUUUCCACAGCUGGGAGGAGGCCGUGCCCACCCUACUUCGCGGGCUUGUGGUGAGGCGAUGGAUGCGGGUGUUUUACAGACUGAAAAGAUGGCCAGUCCUACAGUAUCGUUCCUCUUUGCUGUGGGUUUGCACGUACACCCCUGACUCUGACCUUCCCAGGCUGGCUGUAAGCUCUGGGGGCAGAUGCUCACUCACCUUUGGGGUCCCUCUCACACCUCAUUCAUACCUGGCUCCUAGUUGGUGCUCAAUAAACGUUGCUGAUGGAUUGAUUUGUA